rnacentral:rRNA from 1 species
GACGAACGCUGGCGGCGUGCUUAACACAUGCAAGUCGAACGGAAAGGCCCUGCUUUUGUGGGGUGCUCGAGUGGCGAACGGGUGAGUAACACGUGAGUAACCUGCCCUUGACUUUGGGAUAACUUCAGGAAACUGGGGCUAAUACCGGAUAGGAGCUCCUGCUGCAUGGUGGGGGUUGGAAAGUUUCGGCGGUUGGGGAUGGACUCGCGGCUUAUCAGCUUGUUGGUGGGGUAGUGGCUUACCAAGGCUUUGACGGGUAGCCGGCCUGAGAGGGUGACCGGCCACAUUGGGACUGAGAUACGGCCCAGACUCCUACGGGAGGCAGCAGUGGGGAAUAUUGCACAAUGGGCGGAAGCCUGAUGCAGCAACGCCGCGUGCGGGAUGACGGCCUUCGGGUUGUAAACCGCUUUCGCCUGUGACGAAGCGUGAGUGACGGUAAUGGGUAAAGAAGCACCGGCUAACUACGUGCCAGCAGCCGCGGUGAUACGUAGGGUGCGAGCGUUGUCCGGAUUUAUUGGGCGUAAAGGGCUCGUAGGUGGUUGAUCGCGUCGGAAGUGUAAUCUUGGGGCUUAACCCUGAGCGUGCUUUCGAUACGGGUUGACUUGAGGAAGGUAGGGGAGAAUGGAAUUCCUGGUGGAGCGGUGGAAUGCGCAGAUAUCAGGAGGAACACCAGUGGCGAAGGCGGUUCUCUGGGCCUUUCCUGACGCUAAGGAGCGAAAGCGUGGGGAGCGAACAGGCUUAGAUACCCUGGUAGUCCACGCUGUAAACGGUGGGUACUAGGUGUGGGGUCCAUUCCACGGGUUCCGUGCCGUAGCUAACGCUUUAAGUACCCCGCCUGGGGAGUACGGCCGCAAGGCUAAAACUCAAAGGAAUUGACGGGGCCCCGCACAAGCGGCGGAGCAUGCGGAUUAAUUCGAUGCAACGCGUAGAACCUUACCUGGGUUUGACAUGGAUCGGGAGUGCUCAGAGAUGGGUGUGCCUCUUUUGGGGUCGGUUCACAGGUGGUGCAUGGCUGUCGUCAGCUCGUGUCGUGAGAUGUUGGGUUAAGUCCCGCAACGAGCGCAACCCUUGUUCACUGUUGCCAGCACGUUAUGGUGGGGACUCAGUGGAGACCGCCGGGGUCAACUCGGAGGAAGGUGGGGAUGACGUCAAGUCAUCAUGCCCCUUAUGUCCAGGGCUUCACGCAUGCUACAAUGGCUGGUACAGAGAGUGGCGAGCCUGUGAGGGUGAGCGAAUCUCGGAAAGCCGGUCUCAGUUCGGAUUGGGGUCUGCAACUCGACCUCAUGAAGUCGGAGUCGCUAGUAAUCGCAGAUCAGCAACGCUGCGGUGAAUACGUUCCCGGGGCU